GGGAUGUGCUUGUGGCCAUGGCUGUGCUCCACGUGGAGCUUGUGAUGGAGCAGGCCCUGGCUGCAUCUCAGCUUUGAAGAGGAAAAAAACAGCUGGUAGGAUCAUGUGCGCUGACCAGAACCCAUUCCCUCUGCCUCCAAUGAAAGGUGAGAGCCUAUGCAAUGUGGGUUGGGCUGUCACAGUAAAUGUAAAAAUGUUGCCUACCAAUUUUCAUAGUUUUUCAGUUCUUCAGUAUUUGUACAAGCUGGGAGUGGGCACACCUCUCACCAAGGGAGAAAACUCUCCAUCCCAUUAGGUUUGGUGAGCUGCUUCAGGAACACGAAACCAGGGAAUGGCGACAAUAUUAAGGGGAAAGUCUCCUGUUUUCACACACGCAAGUUGUAAAACCAUCAAAAAUGGAAAAGCAGAAAUGGCAGUUAUUUCUCCCCAAAGUACCCUCCAACUGGAAGGCAAAUUCCGGCAGCUCAUAGAUGGAGCGAGCACUUGGAGCUGCUUUUGCUGGAACUUUCUGACUCAAGAUAGGACGGAGGUGUUGCCUGUGAGGUUCAAUGUUUCUGCAUCCUUUUGGGGGUCACCUGAUGGGCUGGUUAUGGUAUCUAUGGCUGUUGCACGUGGCUCAAGAUGAACAGGAGGGCAUAAAGACUGGGGAUGAAAGCAGAGGUUUUCUACCCCCAAGUCAACAGUUCUGAUCCUGUCGUUUAGAGGGCUGAGAGCCCUUCACUCAGCUCCUUGUUGGUCUGUGGGAAGUAGUUUAAAAGCUCCACUCAGGUCCUGGGGGACAAGCAGGAACGUAGCAAGGCUAUGAGCUGAGAAGUGCCUGACCUUUCUCACUGGAGGAUGCAUUCCUUCGGGUCAAAUGGAAACUCACGCCCAGCGGUGGCCGUGAUGGUGAGGAUGGACAGCAGGCGGCACAGAGCAGCAGCGUAGCGCCCAUCCGCACGCGUUUCCCCAGCUACGCCCCACAGGAACGCGAGGUCUGGGCGCAGACAGCUCCCACCGAGACUGACCUUUGGCUGCCAUCGCGGCUGGAAGCGCCACGUGGGUCUCUGCUGGCACAAAGGGGCCGGAGCGUUCCUGGGGUCUCCUAAGAAGUGGCAGCGCACUUUUCGCUGCCUCACCCGACACAGCCGAACCAGCCCGGCCCCUCUGAGUGUAUGUCUGCCCCAGGGCCGGCCCCGUGCGGCCGCGUGCUGCCACGGAGAGCGCACAUAAAGGCGCCUUUGCUGCGGUGCGGGACAGGCUCCGAAUAAAGGAG
ensembl:lncRNA